rnacentral:lncRNA from 10 species
GCCUGGUUAACCACCCAACAAAGGCAGGUCUGUUAUGCAAUAGACAAGGUCUUGAUAGUAACACUUGGGAUCCAGGCUGACUGGUCAGGGGCCUGAAGUGACAGAGAUUGAAAGACUGGGGACUAGGAGGUCUAAGGUAGCGGCAUGUGGAUGGGCAUGUUCAAGGCGCCAUGUUGAAGAUCUUCAUGUCAUUCCUUAAUGACCACCAGAUAUCAUCCUCCAGGGAAAGGACACUCAAAAACCGUCAAAACAAAAGAAGCCAGGGAGUUGACAUUAGCCAUUAGUGUCUGAAUGACAUGGCCAUGGUGGCAGAGGUGGAGGUCCUGCCUGGGUCCAACAACAUGGGCUCUCACUCACCGGGACCGACUUCUGCUACUGCUAUGUUCAACCUGCCAGCAACAGAGACUAAUGCGGAGACUCCAAAAUGGCAUGAUACCUCAAGGAGACCAACUGGACACUUGAAGGGUCUCAUAUGGGCUCACGUGCUCUGCUUGAGCUCCUCUUUCCUGUGUCACCAUCUAAAAAGUAUCCUUGGUCAGAAAGCUUAAUACCUCCUCUGAAGACUGAUAAUAUACAUCAUCUUCCUGGACCAGUCUACAAGUGAGGGACAGUGAAUAUUUUGAAUGGCAGCUUUUAGGAUAACAAAUCCUCAAAGAGAGAUAGAGUCUUACUCAUCUCUAACAUGUGCUUGACUGUGGAAGACUGCCAAUUAAUAAUGAUUGAGUGAUUUGCUAAAUAAAUAAAAUCUCUGAACAUUGC